rnacentral:rRNA from 1 species
UAAUUGAAGAGUUUGAUCAUGGCUCAGAUUGAACGCUGGCGGCAGGCCUAACACAUGCAAGUCGAGCGGCAGCACAGAGGAACUUGUUCCUUGGGUGGCGAGCGGCGGACGGGUGAGUAAUGCCUGGGAAAUUACCCGGUAGAGGGGAAUAACCAUUGGAAACGAUGGCUAAUACCGCAUAACCUCGCAAGAGCAAAGCAGGGGACCUUCGGGCCUUGCGCUACCGGAUAUGCCCAGGUGGGAUUAGCUAGUUGGUGAGGUAAGGGCUCACCAAGGCGACGAUCCCUAGCUGGUCUGAGAGGAUGAUCAGCCACACUGGAACUGAGACACGGUCCAGACUCCUACGGGAGGCAGCAGUGGGGAAUAUUGCACAAUGGGCGCAAGCCUGAUGCAGCCAUGCCGCGUGUAUGAAGAAGGCCUUCGGGUUGUAAAGUACUUUCAGUAGGGAGGAAGGUGGUUAAG